rnacentral:misc_RNA from 1 species
CAGAGUUGCAAAACUCCAAACCAUUGUGAACUUACCUUCGCCGUUGCUUCGGCGGGCGGCCCGGGCCCUGCCCGGCGCCCCUCGGCCCCUCUCGGGGCGCCCGCCGGAGGUAAACCAAACUCUUGAAUUGUAUGGCCUCUCUGAGUCUUCUGUACUGAAUAAGUCA